GAUGAAGAACGUAGCGAAAUGCGAUAAGUAAUGUGAAUUGCAGAAUUCAGUGAAUCAUCGAAUCUUUGAACGCACAUUGCGCCCCUUGGUAUUCCGGGGGGCAUGCCUGUUCGAGCGUCAUUAUCACCCCUCAAGCUCAGCUUGGUGUUGGGGCCUGCCGUCAAGGCAGCCCUUAAAAUCAGUGGCGGCGCCAUCUGGCUCUAAGCGUAGUAAUUCUUCUCGCUAUGGAGUCCUGGUGGAUGCUUGCCAUCAACCCCCAAUUUUUCUAUGGUUGACCUCGGAUCAGGUAGGGAUACCCGCUGAACUUAAGCAUAUCAAUAAGCGGAGGA
rnacentral:misc_RNA from 1 species